rnacentral:lncRNA from 1 species
AGACAAGGGCUAACGCGUUUCAUCGGCAUAUGUCUGCCAAUGUAUACCGACGUAUCUAUACACGUAUGAAUUGUCGGUGCCCUCCGCGUAAAUAUACCUAAGCGUAGUAAGCAGAGGAAACUGUAUGUUUUCUGUGCAGGUAACUAUGUUGUACUGAGUAUGGGGCUAUAGAUUUCGUUAGAAAAAACAUGCAUUCUUGUAGUCCCACCGCCAGUGACGAUUUUUUUGGAGAGCCAGCGUUGUUGUUAACGUGGGGAAAAAGGGACGUACCAAGCAGCCGUCGGUUUCGAACCAAAGAUACUGGUACGAUCUCCUCUUGCUCGAUCGAGGGGAGGCGGAGCGGUCACGGGACUCCUGUCCUCGUCUGGGUUUUUCGCUUCAUUGUGCGAGUGAGCAGAACUAAACAACAGGAAUUGUCGAUAUCUGCACCAAACCCAGCCCUCUCCAUCGGUGCUCUGUACAGAAAGACACGGACCGUGUGUGCUUUACACUUCAUCCAGUGACAAUUGGAGGACGUUAGUUGUGCAAUGCGGUUUCUGCCCCUGCAUUUGCACUGAUUCUCCAGCACCGAUGCGGCACGUCUAUCGAAGUCAGACAAUCGACAGUGCCCGAGAGUCAGUUGCAAACCGCAACCGCGUCUUGAGACGGAGGUGGCAGUUUGAGAUCUCUGCCUGGGAAUUCGUUUUACAGGUGGAUCCCCUAAGCGGUAUUUGAAAAACACGCGUGUGAACGUGUCCGCAAGUUAACAGCAGAUGUGGUUUUGAAGUUACCAUUCUGUCGUCACUAGUGCUUGAGAUCUGCUGGCGACGGUUGAGAAACAUUGGCGUUAGUUUUCAAUACGUGGUAAAGCUUCAUUCUUCUUCACACAUGGAGAAAAAGGCCGUCUUCACCUGUUGUUGCUCCGUUGACCCCUCCGAUGGCCUGACUUUAAGCUUGCCAGAGGAACCAGGGGGUGUCCGGCGAGCUCCACGCUUUUAUUUGGAAAGGCUUCCGUGUUUUCUGAUACUUUUUUCACCAAUUUUUCUUUUGGCUCAAGAAUGGUCUCCGCCGAAGUUUUCUUUCACGCAUGUUGUCCAUUCUUCCCCGGUAACCUAGAUGAUAAUAUGUUUCGCCGUGUGUUCCUCUCCCCCCUUUUCUUACACCUAGUAAAGACUUGUACUUCCUUCCCCUCUACAUCGGAAGCCGUCUUCUCCGAACUUUUUCCCUUCCGCGAAAACUGGAAAACAAAAGCAAGCCCCAAACUUUUCUCAGGCUGGCGCGUGGAGAAGCGGGGCCGGCCCCGGACGCUGUCUCUACUGCCGUUGCAGUUCAUCGCUGUUCCCACCUGAGCUCCGUGGUCUUUUCCUAGUUUCUUUUUGAAGAGCAAAAGAGGAACCAUGUGCAAUGAGCCUUUUGGUGUGCUCUGAAGGGCUUUCUUGUGUCUCGAGAGAAGUGUUUCCUACGUGGUAGCCGAGUUUUCCAAUGUGCGAUGGAGGGUGUUUGGCCCCACAAGGAGACGCCUGUCACAAGGACGCUCAAGCCGCUGGACCUGAGCACAACUACAGUUCACUCCGCACGGAAGGU